rnacentral:rRNA from 1 species
AUUGAACGCUGGCGGCAUGCCUUACACAUGCAAGUCGAACGGCAGCACGGGAGCAAUCCUGGUGGCGAGUGGCGAACGGGUGAGUAAAGUAUCGGAACGUGCCCAGUCGUGGGGGAUAACGUAGCGAAAGUUACGCUAAUACCGCAUACGAUCUAUGGAUGAAAGCGGGGGAUCGCAAGACCUCGCGCGAUUGGAGCGGCCGAUAUCAGAUUAGGUAGUUGGUGGGGUAAAGGCUCACCAAGCCGACGAUCUGUAGCUGGUCUGAGAGGACGACCAGCCACGCUGGGACUGGGACACGGCCCAGACUCCUACGGGAGGCAGCAGUGGGGAAUUUUGGACAAUGGGCGCAAGCCUGAUCCAGCCAUGCCGCGUGCAGGAUGAAGGCCUUCGGGUUGUAAACUGCUUUUGUACGGAACGAAGAGGUUUGGCUUAAUACGUUGAACUCAUGACGGUACCGUAAGAAUAAGCACCGGCUAACUACGUGCCAGCAGCCGCCGUAA